rnacentral:lncRNA from 1 species
GGGAUUAUUAAAUUUUAGGAGAGAUAACUAAAUUCUAAUUGCUAUUAUCUCAAUCCUACCAACUCUUUUAUAUUUUCGAAACUAUAGUAACUCUACACACUCUCUCUAUAUAUAGAGUAAGACUUGUGUGCUAUGAGGAGCACGGAGAUAAUCGUAGUCCUAAGCUGUUUUCUAUGAUAGGACUUUCAAAACGACGAUCGUUUCUAUAAGAGUUGAUUUAGCAUAUUUGAGAUAUUUACAAAAUAUUUUUUGCAAAUUUUCAAUAUUAUUUAUCUAAUGGUCAAAACGAUUCAAAAUCAAUAAUUUUUAAUAAUUGAUGUAUGCCAUUUGCAAGUUUAACGGUAUAAAGUAUUCAAAUUAGAUGAAAUUUUAAUAAAAAAUUAUUUAUACUAUUUAUUGUAAGAUCAAUAUCUCUAAUCGAAAAUUUUAGUAUUAUAUCAUCACUUUUUGUGAGAUUUUUAUUUUCAGCCGUUGAUUUUGAACCCUUUCGAUCGUUAGGUAAAUGAUACUGAAAAAUCGCAAAAUUUAUUUUCCAAAUAUUUCAAAUAUGCUAGAUCAAGUUUAACAGAGUGAAUCAUCGAUUCAUAAGCUCCAUCAUCGAAAAUUGUUUAGGAGCAUGGAGGCCUCCGUACUCUUAAUAACACACAAGAUCUAUUUUAUAUAUAUAUAUAUAUAGAGAGAGAGAGAGAGAGAGAGAGAGAGAGAUUUGGGCUAGAAUACUAUUAAUACUAUUUGCCCCCUUUUGCUAUCAAAGUUUUAACCAUUAGAUCAAGCCCUUUGAUCAUUUCUAACUAUCGGAUUAAAUAUUAUAACCAAGAGGGGACCACUCAACCAUAGGGAGACCAUUCAAUUCUAAGGGACUAAUAUCAUACUAAUCCUACAAUUAGCAAAAAAUACCAAAUACUAUCAAUAGUAUUCCAGCCUAACUCUCUCUCUCUCUCUCUCUCUCUCGACAGUAUCCCAGCCUGACUCUAUAUAUAUAUAUAUAUA